rnacentral:misc_RNA from 1 species
GUAGGUGAACCUGCGGAAGGAUCAUUAAUGAAUAACUUGAUGUGGUUGUAGCUGGCUCCUAGGAGUAUGUGCACGCCCGUCAUCUUAUCUUUCCACCUGUGCACAUAAUGUAGAUCUGGAUAACUCUCGCUCUUCGGGGCGGAAACAAGGAUUGCUGCGUCGCAAGACCAGCUCUCUUUGAAUUUCCAGGUCUAUGUCAUUACAAACCCCAAUCGAAUGAUGUAGAAUGUAGUCAAUGGGCUCUAAGCCU